ensembl:processed_transcript
UGGAACAGACAGAGCCGCGAGGAUGGCAGCGCACAAAAAUACACGCAGUGAGAAGACCGUACCGAAGAUUUAAGUCGGAUCCAGAGCUGUUACUAGCCGACCUGUCUCUGCCGUCGCCGCUCUGAGCCACCCGCAGCCCGAGCCGGUGCUGCUGACCCCCGCCGCGCCGGCGACCGUCAUGCCGGCUGUCCUUCGACAUCAACCCGGUAAACCUGCGACUUUCCGCGGACACGAACUUCGCAGCAGAGGGCGAGAAAUUAAACAGGCCACCUCUUCUUUUACACGGAGAUCUGGCGGAUGGUGAGGAGAACAGGACAGAGAGGGACGCCGCCAGCAGGACUGGAGGACUAACGGUACACUGUGGCGGAUUACUAGAAUUCACACCUGCGCAGAUGCUUUUAUUUGCUGCACAUGAACACCACGAUGAACGUAUAUAACAAGAGAAAUACAUAUUUGCACAUACUUUUCAUCAUCAGUACGUUAUAACAAGAAGAAAAGAAAAAUAAUAGGCAAUUAAAAUAAAGUAAAAAACCUGACGACUGUCUAUUCUGAAUUAGCAGAUAUUAUGAUCUACACAGCCCUUCAUCCAAUUCUCUUAAAGAUAUGAGUAUUAUUAUUGCAUAUAAACACGUAUAACAUAAAACUGUUAUGUUAAAAACACAGCACUGCCAUCAGCACAUGCGAUUACAAACAGUGCAAAUUAUACAUUGAGGAUCCGGAGGGUCAAGUUUUUGGUUAUGUUAGGUAUCAGUAAUACCUCAGUGAACCAAAUUUAUAUAUUUAAUUCAGUUACAAUUGAUUAAUUAACUUGUUAUUACGUUUUCAGUGUUUUAAGAGAUAUUAAGUGGUUCACUAUGGAAGCCCGCUUCCACUACCGAAUAAAAAUAAAUACAUAUAUAAA